AUACUUACCUGGCAGGGGAGAAACCUUGAUCUCUGGGGUGAUUUUCCUAGGGAGGGAGGCUUAUCCUUUGCACUUGGAUGUGCUCACCCCUGCUUGCCAUUUCCCCAAAUGCAUGAAGGUUGACACAUACUUUGUGGUAGUGGGAGAGUGGGGGGUUUGCACUUGUACUCUUC
rnacentral:snRNA from 1 species